rnacentral:lncRNA from 1 species
AUUACAGAUUACUUCAACUACGGUUUCACUGAAGAGACGUGGGAGGCUUUCUACCUGAAACAGAAAGACAUGCGAUCGGCUAGGAGGGAAAUGGCAUCUGUAUGCAAGCGAAUUGAAGAUAAACAGAGAGCAAACAGAGAAAAGCGAACAGGUGGUACAGAAAAGGUGGACAAACACAGACAACAUCAGAAGGAGUGGAGCCGACCUUGUUCUGCCUCUGACUCACACAGUUUAUUUCCCAGACGAUGUGACUCCACCAGUAGUGCAAGCCAAGAUGAUUGGUCCAGAAGACGACAUGACUCCAAUCGUAGUUUAAACCGAGAUCGCUGGUCGGGUGGAGGCAGAAAGAGCUCAUCAGCCACGGAGGACAGUGCUACUCAUCUAUUCACUUCACCUGACUCCAUGUGUCCCUCUGAUCCCUGUUUACGCACAAAGUCAUGUUGAGCAACGUGUGGGACUUGGAACUCAUUGUGUCGCUCGGUCACGUAAAAUUGUGUGCAUUAAAACAACUGGG